UACGUAGGGGGCGAGCGUUGUCCGGAUUUAUUGGGCGUAAAGAGCUCGUAGGCGGUUCGGUAAGUCGAAUGUGAAAUCUCCACGCUCAACGUGGAGGGGUCAUUCGAAACUGCCGUGACUUGAGUACGGUAGGGGAGUGUGGAAUUCCCGGUGUAGCGGUGAAAUGCGUAGAUAUUGGGAGGAACACCGGUGGCGAAGGCGGCUAUCUGGACCGGUACUGACGCUGAGACGCGAAAGCCAGGGGAGCAAACGGG
rnacentral:rRNA from 1 species